GAGGGUAUAGCUCAGUGGUAGAGUGCAUGCUUAGCAUGCACAAAGUCCUGGGUUCAAUUCCCAGUACCUCCA
rnacentral:tRNA from 1 species